AGCGGCGGACGGGUGAGUAACGCGUGGGUAACCUGCCCUGUACACACGGAUAACAUACCGAAAGGUAUGCUAAUACGAGAUAAAAUACUUUUAUCGCAUGGUAGAAGUAUCAAAGCUUUUGCGGUACAGGAUGGACCCGCGUCUGAUUAGCUAGUUGGUAAGGUAACGGCUUACCAAGGCGACGAUCAGUAGCCGACCUGAGAGGGUGAUCGGCCACAUUGGAACUGAGACACGGUCCAA
rnacentral:rRNA from 1 species